UGAUCUACACAUAUCCUUGACAUGCCC
rnacentral:piRNA from 1 species